GAUUCGUAUGUGUGUGUGUGUGUGUUUAUUGAGUAGUUAGUGAACUGUCCUCUCAGUGUUUGUGAAACCAAAAAUACGGUGAAACUCUGGUACUGGCGAAUGACAGAUAGGUUCAGCGGAGUUCGGAAUAGUAGUAGGUAGUAAACGAUGUUUUAUUUUCAUUGAUUACAGUGGCGUCGGCCUAACCUGAAUCUACUUGUUCAAUAACUCUCAAAACGUAAACAAAUAAAUAAUGCUUUACAAAUCGAUACAAAUCUCUGAAACUAGAAGAUCCUACACUCACGAAAUUCCACACAUUUUAUUGACGAAAUUCUUUGAAAUUUUCUUAGUGUUUGCAUUUUGGGACCAAAUUUGAAUAUAGAUAAUGGCUCUAAAUUACGUUUUCAAAAUUGUUCAACAGAUAAAAAGUGAGGUUACGCGACGCAACUGAAUCAUUAUGAGUUUACAAUUGGUUCUUAUAUUUCAAGUAAUUUAGCCUAGUUGCUGUUCAGUUUUGACAUUUGUUUCGUUAUUGUUUGUUCUAAGUUUUUCACGUUUGUGUUGCUUUAAGUGUGCUUCAUAGAUCCACGGUGUUCUUGUACAAUAAUAAUAUUAUAAAAACAAAAUCAGUUUCGCCGGAACAGCCACCAAACCAAGACUUAGGUACCCCUCUUUCAUUUGAGACACACAUUUUUAGGGCGUGACAAAUAUUAUUUGGAUGUGACUUACACUGAAAAAUACGAAAAAAAAAUAAAAUUCUAGAUAUCGCUGGAAUAAGGGCGUAGCAGCUUUUGUAAACAAUGACUUCUUUCGACGAUUUCUAGAAAGUUAAGGCUCACCCAAGCAACUCAACAUCAUCAUCGGAUAGGGGAAGACUUUCCCUACCCGAUGGUUAUGUUGGUUUGCGUGAACGUGCCUUGAAUUCGUAGAAAUCAUCGAGAGAAGUCAUUGUUUACAAAAGCUGUUACGCCCUAAUUCCAGUUCUAUAUCUAGAAUAAUUGUUCUAGAGAUAGAACAUUUCAAUACUAGCCUCACAAGAAAGGGGCAAACCUAACCUUUCGUUUGGUGGGUUUUUCAGCGAUACUGAUUUUUGUUUUAGUAAUUUUAUAUUUAAGAGACACCAUGGCCAUCUGGGUUUUCUUCUUCUUCUUCUUCGCAUUUCAAGCUUAUUGCUUAUCGAAUAUUAGCUUAUUGUGCGCUCCCAACUUAGUGUUCUUCCACAGUUAUUAAUUGAGAGCUUGCGAUGCCUGUACCAUUAUUGCAUUAGUAUAAUUCAAGCACAAUAUGUGAAAAGGGCGUACAAACCUUUUGUAAACAAACCUUCUUAUGCCCUUUUCUCGCCACCCAUUUGACACCAACGCAAACCAUCAACAUCACCCGAUAGAGGAAACUUUCCCCUUCCCGAUGAAGUUGUUGGUUUGUUUACAAAAAGCUUAUAUGCUCUUUUCACAUGUGGCUCUUGAAUUGUGUGGCCCAGGGAAGUCGGGAAAUUUUCCAAUCCGAAAAAUUCCUAUUCAUUAUUUCAUAAAACAUGUCCGGGGAGUUCUGUGAGGUUUUGGAGAUUUCAAAAAGUUCUGAAAACUCCAGAUACCUUGUAGCUAGUAGUGGUAGUGCGUUCUCGGUAGAUCCGAUCCGAAUAUACUUAAUCGGGCACUUGCGGUGCCAAGCUCACUCGUUCCGACUCCUAGGUGUGCAUUUCCUAAUGUACUCUGGACGGUUCCCAUGGUAGGCUCCGAACAUAAGCCAACAGGAUACGACGGUAGUAGCACAGACAAACUGACAUAACACAUUCAAUAUUUCGCGCUGUAGAACAUCGUCGCUAAAACAUUAGCGUCAUCUAUUGAGUACACUGUGGUGGCUAGUACGCUGAACAGAUGGCGGUAGUGUGUAAACGUCAAACACAAGGGAAUUGACUAUGCGCGCCACAGGUGGCGGUAUUACCAACUGAGAUACUUUUGAAUUUACUGUUAAAUGCUUGUUCGAUGAACAACUUGCGAGAGUUACGUCUGUUUGUCUGUGGUAGUACGAUGUGUCGCACUUCAAGAGCGGCUGACAGUCCUGGGAAGUACACUGUUGUAGACCUUUUUUGUAACCUUGUAGAUUUGAUCGGUCCAUUUCAUUUUGUCUGACAAAGCAAUAGUCUGGCCACAGAAACGGAUGUCAUUCUGAGGGAUUGUGGCACCGCUUCGGCAGAAAACUAUAAGCUUGCGUCUUCUUUGGGUUGGGAAAGAAAUGAUUUCCAGUGGCUUGAAUUUCGAUAGCAAGCAGAUCUUCAUUGAUUGACUCGACGAGCCUAUUCGUUACGUCUUGAAGGUCGUCUGCGUAGAGAUGAUAUUCGUAUUUAGAGCACCGGGCUAAGCAACAGGGCACUUAAGAAUGAUCCGUGGGGCGUACCGUCAGAAAGUACGACCCAGCUCAACAACUUGGCUUCCCUAUUUCAAGGAAGAUUGUUUGUUUGAAAAAUGUUAUUGGACAAAACUUGGUAUAUGUGGACAGGCUGAACUUAAGAUAGUCCUUAGAAAAAGCAUUGACCAUAGAGAGAUUUUAAAUCUUCACAAAAAUAGUGCUCAUCUCAACAAAUUAAGCAAACAUCUGUCUUCAUACAGGAGAGUAGAUUGCAAUGAAAAUAGUCAAUCAAUUGAUUUAUAGCACUACAACUCACUUAACUAUUCGUGUUCCAAAUUGAAACUGAAGACGAAAUAUUUAUCAAAAUAUAUCAGUUAUCAGUUGUGCGACAGAUAAAUAGACAUAAGGCAUUGAAUAUAUUUCACUGGGAAUGAUUAUCGAUAAAACACUACCGCGAUCUAUUGAAUACACCGUCAUGGGCAGUACGCUUAACAGAUGACGGUAGUGUGUAAAGUCAAACACACGUGAAUUGACUAUGCGCGCCACAGGUGGCGGUACUACCAAUUAAGAAAGAUUUAAAUCCACCGUUAAAUGCAUGUUCCAUGAACAGCAUGCGAGUGAUAUGUCUGUUUGUCUGUGAUUCUAUUAUAUAUUUCUAUAAGCUUUCAGGGAAACAUAUGAUCAAUCAGCUCUAGCUUGCUAAAACGAAUUGUCUACCGAUUUAACAAAAAAAUAAACAAUAAAAUUUAUUUACGAUGGAACUCAUCACCAUAUGACCUGACCUAACUUGAUCUCCCUAAUGCCGCGGAUACACUUGUAUCACAAACUUUGAACAUGACCAUUAUUUGUAUAAUAAAUUAUAGUUUUUGUAUAGUUGUUGUAUAGUGCUCAUAAUUAUUAUACAUACGAUUACUUUUUCGAAAAGACGUAUCAGUUUUUGUAAACAAUGAAUUUGAUCGUCUAUCUACUAUCAGGUAGGGGGAAAUUUUCCCUAUCUGAUGGUAGUGUUAGCUUGCCUGGGUGAGCUGUCAGCAACGCCAAAUCGACGAUCAAAUGCAUUGUUUACGUCCUUUCGAAAAAGUAAUCGAGAAAUAAUGAUCAUGCUCAUAGUAGGUCAUACAAGUGUAUCCGCGGCAUAACUAUUAUAUUGAAGGGAUCAUCAAAUCAGGAACGAUAUCGAUAGAAGUGCUCGAAGUAGCCUGGAUUUCCGUCGAGUUAUGGAGAGUUCACUGUAGUUAGUUUUCGCUGACCUGCUUAGAAAAAUAAGUGACCAAUGGAUCGUAAUUACUAAUUAAGAAAGAGCAAACUAUUAAGCUUCAUCAGUACUCCAACAAUCAGCAUAGCGACUUACUGUCCCGUUCCAUGUCAUACCUAGGUAGCCAUAAAUGUUAUUACGGGACAAGCACGAGCUGUCAUCCAUCCUAUGGCUAGAAGCUUCAUAGUUUACUUUCUUUUAAUUAUGAAAUAGUUGCCCUAUAAAAUUAAGUUCCUUUCAUCAAACGUUGUUUUAAAGCGAUUUUGUAAAAAUCAACGAAACUGUCCACAAACAAGUUUUCGCUCGAAUUACGAAAAACAUCACUUCCUUAAGUACCGAAUAUACUACCCAUUGAUUGAAAAAUACAAGAUGUAAGACUUUAGAUA